rnacentral:rRNA from 2 species
AUACCGGCGGCUCGAGUGGUGGCCACUUUUAUUGGGCUUAAAGCGUUCGUAGCUGGGUUGUUAAGUCUCUUGGGAAAUCCGGCGGCUCAACCGUCGGGCGUCUAAGAGAUACUGGCAGUCUUGGAACCGGGAGAGGUGAGGGGUACUUCGGGGGUAGGAGUGAAAUCCUGUAAUCCUUGAGGGACCACCUGUGGCGAAGGCGCCUCACCAGAACGGCUUCGACAGUGAGGGACGAAAGCUGGGGGAGCAAACCGGAUUAGAUACCCGGGUAGUCCCAGCCGUAAACGAUGCGCGUUAGGUGUAUCGACGACCACGAGUCGUCGAGGUGCCGAAGGGAAACCGUGAAACGUGCCGCCUGGGAAGUACGGUCGCAAGGCUGAA